rnacentral:rRNA from 1 species
AUUGAACGCUGGCGGCAUGCUUUACACAUGCAAGUCGAACGGCAGCACGGACUUCGGUCUGGUGGCGAGUGGCGAACGGGUGAGUAAUACAUCGGAACGUGCCCAGUCGUGGGGGAUAACUACUCGAAAGAGUAGCUAAUACCGCAAGAGAACUGAGGUUGAAAGCACGGGAUUGCAAGACCUUGCGCAACUGGAGCGGCCGAUGGCAGAUUAGGGAGUUGGUGGGAUAAAAGCUUACCAAGCCGACGAUCUGUAGCUGGUCUGAGAGGACGACCAGCCACACUGGGACUGAGACACGGCCCAGACUCCUACGGGAGGCAGCAGUGGGGAAUUUUGGACAAUGGGCGAAAGCCUGAUCCAGCAAUGCCGCGUGCAGGAUGAAGGCCUUCGGGUUGUAAACUGCUUUUGUACGGAACGAAAAGCUUCGGGUUAAUACCCUGGAGUCAUGACGGUACCGUAAGAAUAAGCACCGGCUAACUACGUGCCAGCCGCCGCAGUAACAC